rnacentral:rRNA from 1 species
CACGUAGGGUGCGAGCGUUGUCCGGAAGUAUUGGGCGUAAAGAGCUCGUAGGCGGUGUGUCGCGUCGGCCGUGAAAACCUGCAGCUUAACUGUGGGCGUGCGGUCGAUACGGGCAUCACUGGAGUUCGGCAGGGGAGACUGGAAUUCCUGGUGUAGCGGUGAAAUGCGCAGAUAUCGGGAGGAACACCAGUAGCGAAGGCGACGCUCUGGGCCGGUACUGACGCUGAGGAGCGAAAGCGUGGGGAGCGAACAGG